GUUAAUCAUGUGUUGCUGCCUGCAAUCCUACACUUUUAUGUUAAGCUGCUUUGAAUCCCGUUUGGGGGAGAUAAAGCAGGGUAUAAAUAAAUAUGAUGAUUAUGAUAAUAUACUUAUUCACCUUUAGUACCAUUUAAGACGGUGGAAAUGACUUCCAAACAGACAUGGAUAAUAUUGCACUGGUAAGUGCAUCUCAUUGGAACUGAAUUAAUGCAGCUUAAUUUUCUCUGUAGUUUUAUACAUACUUAUGUGAAUGUAUUCUUAUUUGUUUACUGUGUGAAUUUGGGCUUGGUCCCAUGUUAGCCACCCCUGCGGGGAGAUAGAGAUACAAAAGUAAAGUUAUUAUUAUUAUUAUUAUUAUUAUUAUUAUUAUUAACUCAGAAUAAAUUCCAUUGAAUUUAAUAGAUUAUGUAGAAUAGAACUCAAUUGUAAGCAGUUGUCUACCGGAUUGCAUCGUCGACUGGAAUUUUGUAACAUCUUUCAGCCAUUCCUCUUGGUGGUCAUUAAGUAAACAUAUUAAACACAGAGAAAUAGUUAAUUAAGCACAAUUAAACUCUUGUUUAAAAUCUGUGUGUUGUUAAAAGAUACAUAGGCUAAGCUUCUCCGUGUUUGGCUGGGUGUUACUUUAAUGCAGCCUGGGAUGUUAAGUACACUGGCUCCAACUCUGAAAUAGACAAAAUAAGAAAACACAUUUCCAUUUAGUGACUGACCUCAAUCUCUGAAUGAGGACCCCUGCAUGUUACAUUAGCAAGCUGGGCUCCAUUACACCACCGCACACUCUGCUCAGUCUACUGAAGUAUUGAUUUUUUUUGGACUGCGCGCACACUGUGUAAAAUCAAUAUCCAGUACACAUAGCAGAGUGGUUACAGUAUAAAGGCCAACUCACUAGCAUUGCAUAUGGGUCCAUGCCCAAAUGUUGUACUAGUCAAGGAAAGAUCAAAAAGGUAAAAAUAUGCAAAGGAAAGAUCAAACCUGAAAGGCAAAGCAGUAAAAAAAAAAAAGAGAAAGCGAGAAAAUACAGAUGAAAAGAAGUAUAUGGAGAAAGAAAAACAAGCCGAAGGGAGUCCAUAUGAAGACAAAGGGAUGGAAGAACAGGGGGGAAAGAGGGUCUUGGAACCAAAUUGCACAGAUAACCAAGUGUCCACUGUAUUUGAAUUUGGAGAAUUACCGUGACAAGAGAAAAACUUGAUUUAAAUUCCAUCACUGACUUGAAAUUAUUUUGGUGAUGGAGAACAUGGCCAGUAACAUCACUGAUAAAGAAGGAGAAGGCUAAAUAGAUGAAUCCCCUUAUGAUAAGAUCAUUUUAUGCAUCAGCAUAUACAUACUCCUGAUCUAUAUUGAAAAUGAGAAUUCAGCUGAUCGUUUCACCAUGGGAUAAAAGCAGAUUAUAAAUAAAGAUGAUGAUGAUGAUUAA